GACAAACGCUGGCGGCGUGCCUAACACAUGCAAGUCGAACGGAGACAAUAGCAAUAUUGUUUUAGUGGCGGACGGGUGAGUAAUGCGUGAGCAAUCUGCCUUUCAGAGGGGGACAACAGCUGGAAACGGCUGCUAAUACCGCAUGAUGUAUACGGAUGGCAUCAUCUGUAUACCAAAGAUUUUAUCGCCGAAAGAUGAACUCGCUUCUGAUUAGUUAGUUGGUGGGGUAACGGCUCACCAAGACUGCGAUCAGUAGCCGGACUGAGAGGUCGAACGGCCACAUUGGGACUGAGACACGGCCCAGACUCCUACGGGAGGCAGCAGUAGGGAAUCUUCCGCAAUGGACGAAAGUCUGACGGAGCAACGCCGCGUGAGUGAUGAAGGCUUUCGGGUCGUAAAGCUCUGUUGCCAGGGAAGAAUACUUGGGAGAGUAACUGCUCUCAAGGUGACGGUACCUGAGAAGAAAGCCCCGGCUAACUACGUGCCAGCCGCCGCGGUAAUAC
rnacentral:rRNA from 1 species